CCAGGCGUGACGUGGCGGGUGGGGGAUCAUCAUCUCCUGCCAGCCACUCACCUGUUUGUCCAUGCAGGAAGCAUUCGCUGACCCCCGCCGCAACACUGUGCGGGGCACUGGGGCCACGGGGGAGUGAGGCGCCUUGCCCCUGCCGGCCGGAGAGGGGCAAGGGCACGCAGCACAGGGACUGGACAGGACAGGGCAUGAGUGCAUGGGAGCUGGGGGAGGAGGAGAGGAGCCAGGAGAGGGGCAGGGACACCGGCGGGCAAGGCAGGAGGGUCCCUGGGCAGCAGCACUCUGUCCACUCUGACCCCUGCUGCCCGCAGUCUGGCCAGCGAUGCUCAGGAGUCUGGAUCUUUAUCCUAAGCACAACAGGGAAAUGGUGAAAAGUUUUAGAUUUGAGUGACUUGCAAAGAUAUGCACUUUAAAAUGGCGCUGUGGCUGCAGUGUGAAGAUCAGGGCCAAGAAGGUGGUGCGUUAGUGGCGGACGGUUCCCAGCAGCUGGGGCCCGGACGCGUCGGCGGCGGAGGAGAGAAGGCGGGUGAGGCCAACGCGGGGUGAGGCACCCGGACCUGUGAGUCUGCAGUGCAGGGGUGCAGGGUGGGACAUGGCUGCCCCUUAACGGCCUUGGGGCUGUGCCAUCUGCUCACAAGCCCUGCAGGUUGCAGCAGAGCGGAUGAUCGACCGUACCCUGCUCGAGCCCUAGCGCCCAGGGCUGGGAAAUUCCACAGGGCAGAGGAGUCAGCCAACACGGAUCUGGACUACAGCCCUGGUUUUCCUUCCUGCCCACGGAAGGCUGCCUCUGGGCUGAGCUUCCUGAACCUGGCACAGAGGCUGUCAGAGGGGCUGUGUUCUCCGUUUCUCCCCAGGAGAGUUGGCCCUGCCCUGCACAGUUGGAUCAGGGCCGCUCCUCGGGAGGGCUGUGUCCGCUCCAGGUUUGUUCAUCACGUCUGAAGGCCCUGGCACACUUUCACAACCCGAUCUAACCUGCCACAAAAUGCAACCCAGUGUUGUGGUUUGUGCUACAGGUACAGUUGGAUGGAGGGAAGGGAAGCAUAGCUUUGGGGUAAACCCUCAGAUGAGCACCUGGACGGGGCCGUGCUGAUCAGGGAAACCAGAACUUCCAACUGGCCGGAUGUCAGGUAUGCUGAGUUUGUGUUCCCUGAAAUCGAAGAGUGAAUUCCACAGGACAGAGGAGGCAAGGUUCACUCUGGAACAGGAGCAACUCCCAAGAGACAGAGGGGUCCCGAGUCGGUGGCACUGAGGCCCUUUGUCAGGGGCAAUUUGUACAGCAAAGUCAGGAUGUGGGUACCAUGGGGGUCAAACUACAACCAGCCCAUCGGACCACAAGCACAGCUGCUUAGCUAACAUCAUCCGUGGGGAAGCAGGGCAUGCAGUAAGGUCUGUGUCCGGCACCACCACGCCUGGCCCACCUGUGACUUCUGAAGCAGGGCCUUUUGGGAAGGCUGGUCCGGGUGUUCUGGUCAGCCAUCCGGUGUCCGACACACAUCUGGACAUGGCGGACUGGGUGGCACUCAUUACAGUACAGUCUCAAAUUCGGCUUCUCCUUAGGGAAAUACCAAGCCAAGCCCUUGUGACUUCAUCUUGAGGCCUGGCCUCUUCAGAUGCGUCUCCAGCCACAGCUCUGACGUCUUUGACUUCCACUGACUUUGACAGCCCAGUCCCUCUCUGUCUGCUAAGUUGUAUCUAACAUAGUGGCCUAUAAUAAUGUGAGGGAGGACAAUACAGAAGAAAUCUGUACAUAGCCAGGUGUGGUGGCACACGCUGUAAUCCCAGUACCCGGGAGGCUGAGGCAGGAGAAUUACCAUGAGUUCAAGGCCACCCUGGGUUACACACUGAAACCCUGAAAACAUUGGAAAAAAAAAAAAAGAAAAACGAAUACCACUUA
rnacentral:lncRNA from 1 species